CAGCCAUAUCACAUUGAAAAAACCAGUUCCCAUACGAUAAUCAAAGUUAAGCAACAUCUAGCCUGAUCAGUACUUAGAUGGAUGACCGUUUGGGAAUACCAAAUG